AGAACGAACGCUGGCGGCAUGCCUAAUACAUGCAAGUCGAACGAACACUUCGGUGUUAGUGGCGCACGGGUGCGUAACGCGUGGGAAUCUGCCCUUGGGUUCGGAAUAACAGUUGGAAACGACUGCUAAUACCGGAUGAUAUCGAAAGAUCAAAGAUUUAUCGCCCAGGGAUGAGCCCGCGUAGGAUUAGCUAGUUGGUGAGGUAAAGGCUCACCAAGGCGACGAUCCUUAGCUGGUCUGAGAGGAUGAUCAGCCACACGUGGGACUGAGACACGGCCCAGACUCCGUACGGGAGGCAGCGAGUAGGGAAUAUUGGACAA
rnacentral:rRNA from 1 species